CCCGAGGUCUUUAAAAUAGCCUUCUCAUGCUUCCCAUCUAUCUUCUCUUCCGUAUAUGACCCUUCUUGCAUCAAACGAGCACAGCGAGCACGAACAAGUGCUUGCAUUUUGACAAUGGCUUGUAUGCAUCGUAGGGUUCCAACAGCAUGCCGCCGGACUAAGUGCCCCCGAACAACAGCUUGCAACUUAACUAAGUUCUUCAGUUUGAUAAGUUCUCUUUGGGCCAGACAGCCUCGG
rnacentral:misc_RNA from 1 species